AUGAGACCGCUUUUGGGUCUGAUUUUAUUUCUCGUCCGCAUAGCAUAUCCAUUACAGUGUCUUCAAUGUAUUCACAACCAAGACAACCCGCAUGUUGAUUGUAUCAAUGCAGAUGUUAAGUACUUGUCAGACUGUACCAACCACAACGAUGUGACAGAACAAGUAACCGAUUGGGAUUGCUACGUAAUCGGAAACUAUACGUCGACGACCGUCUUGUUCGUGUACCGCCAAUGUAUUGCUAGGGGCUAUGAGAUCCAUUGUACCGCAGGUGGACCUCUUGAGUAUUGGGCUCAUUUUCAAUGUAUUUGCAAUAACAGAGGCGGCUGCAACGAUAACGAGCCUCCGUUGAGGAACGCAACCUUAAGCCCUACUGACCCAACACCUUCAACACCUUCUAUCUCAACACCAUUUAUCCCACCAAUUUUAUCGACACCUUCCGCCUCAACACCAUCUGAAACAACAUCGCCUGGACCAAACGGAGGUAUAAAUCUACGAUUAUCACCAACGUUUAUUGUUUACGGUUUAUUAGGUUUUGCUCUUCGUUGUAUGUUUAGCGGUUAGAAAGUUAGUCUAAUGUUUUUGAAAGCGGCCGGUCAAUGUCUAGUACUACGUCAAUAAAGAUAUGUGAUGA